GGGGUCGUGGGGUAGCUUGGUCUAGCCUCUCGGCUACAUGCCGGAGACCCGAGUUCAAAUCUCGGCGACCCCACCA
rnacentral:tRNA from 1 species